GAAUGGAUCAUUACCGAGUUAUCCAACUCCCAACCCCUGUGAAUCAUACCUUUAAUUGUUGCUUCGGCGGGACUUCGCGCCCGCCGGGGACCCGAACCUUCUGAAUUUUUUAAUAAGUAUCUUCUGAGUGGUUAAAAAAAUGAAUCAAAACUUUCAACAACGGAUCUAAACCUGGUUCUGGCAUCGAUGAAGAACGCAGCGAAAUGCGAUAAGUAAUGUGAAUUGCAGAAUUCAGUGAAUCAUCGAAUCUUUGAACGCACAUUGCGCCCGUCAGUAUUCUGGCGGGCAUGCCUGUUCGAGCGUCAUUACGCGCGCCCCAAGUCCCCUGUGGAUGGUGUUGGGGAUCGGCGAGGCUGGUUUUCCAGCACAGCCGUCCCUUAAAUUAAAUGGCGGUCUCGCCGUGGCCCUCCUCUGCGCAGUAGUAAAACACUCGCAACAGGAGCCCGGCGCGUCCACUGCCGUAAAACUAUUGCGGGCCUACUUGGGCUAAACUUUUUAUAGUUGACCUCGAAUCAGGUAGGACAUUAU
rnacentral:rRNA from 1 species